AGCAAUCUGCCUGCCUCACCCUCCCAAAGUGCUGAGAUUAUAGGUGUGAGCCACUGUGCCCGGCUGGGUUCUUUAGGUUGCAAUAAGCAGAUGCCUUUACACACCAGUUUAAGUGAAGUUGGGGAGGUAGCUAGAAGGAGAAGGAAGCAACAAGGGAGUAAGAAUGUCCACAGAGCCUGCAUUUGGAUCUGAGGUUACACUCCAGCAGGAGUCCUGGAUCUUUGCUCUGGCUCUCCCCCAGUAAGGCAACCUGGCUUCUGUGAGCAGGUCCUCCAUUCUCCACUUGCCACUGGCAGCUCCCUUGCCUUGUUUUCUGCACCUGCCUUUUUCGUGCAUCACAGCUUCUGCUGAUUCAUAACUUUGGCUCACCCCUCACUCAUUGUGGUCCCUUUAGCCUCUCUCCACUUGCUGCACUCCAUGACAUUUCAGCCUUGGCUCCCGCCACCAACGGAUUGAUUUUCUUGACAUUUUCCAGUUUUGCUUUCUGAGAUAGGAAUCGAAUUGACACACCCUCCGCCCUUUUCAGGUGCUGGGCCACAUCAAAAGUCUCUAGCCAGCCAAUGAAUGAGCUCUUUGGGAGUCUGCCUCCUGUUGCAAUUAGCUGGGCAGGGGAGGGUGUACCAUAAAACAGAAGUGUCCUGCUGGGGAGUACCUGUGGCAGGGGAUGAGGGCAGGCGGUUUCCUUUAAAGCGAGAUGUAGGUGCAGCACACUAUAGAGCUAUCCCACCUGGGAGCUCACAUGUGGCAGCUGUGAGCUGGAGCCCUUGUCUGGGAGCUGGGUGAUUGGUCUGCAUUGAAGAGGGCUGGGAGCUCCCACAGCAUGGAAGUUUCGGGACAUCUUGUGGUGGGAUUCAUCUUCUCCAUUUGUCCUGCUUUGUUUCUUAUUUUCAUUGUAUCAUCAGUUUCAAGGAGAGGCACAAAGAAUGACUUGUGUGCUCCUCAGAGGGACGUCAUCAGGACUUACUUUGUGGACAGACAUGCCACUGACAUCUUCUAGAAAACUGCCGUAGUAACCAGAAAAACCUAUGAUGACCAUGAUGUGAAAGGAGCCCAACAGAAUUGUGCAAUGCAAAACUUGCACUGCUGUUAGUAGCUGCCUUACCAGGAUCAAGCUGCACACCCUGUCCAUCUCAGCCUGCCUUGCCUCUGUGAGUGUCCUGCGGAGAUCUCACGUGGCCACUCAAUAGGAGCUCCUCAUAUGCUUCCAUUCAGAGGACACAGAUGCAUAGAUUUGGGGAUAUAGAAAACUUUGAGGGUAAAAGUGGGAGAAAAUUAAUAUUUCUUGAGCAUUUUUUAUCUGCUAGGGGCUAUGCUAACUAUUUUACUUACAUUGUUCAUAUUUUUGCAUGAAAGCUGUGUUGUAACUGUUACUACUUUCAUUUUACAGCUAAGAAAACUAGGCUCAGAGGUUCAGCCGCAGCUGCUGCUUUGGGCUGCACAAAUUGCAUACUUGCAAUAUUUGAGGAAAUGCUAUUCACCUGUAAUUCAAGUGACCUCGUUGGUUACAAGGGGAGCCAGUAUAUCACUUGCCCAAGUCGCAUAGUGAAGGAGGAGCAGAGCUGGAAUUCACACCCGGUCUGAAUGACUCCAAAGCCUAUGCUCUCUCUGCUACACAAGUCUUUUGAAGACCCCACAGGAGUAAAAAGUGACCAAACUUAGUUUUGUUUUUUUUUUCUUUCUUAGAGAAAAGUUCCAUUCGUGUAUUCUGAAAUCAAAUGCAGGAAACAUGGAAUUUUAUCCACAAUGACAGCAACCUCUUGGAAGGAAAACUGAGUGCCAUGAGAGGACAGUGACAACCUCGGAGGCCUCAUGGUGAAGGUGGCAGAACCUUUGUUAGCCUGGGUGCUCAGGGUGGACAGCUGCUCUUGCCAACUGGGAACAUCUGCCUCGAGCGCUUUUAUUAUUAAAAACUCCAAUUUGUGUCUGUGUAACUCAACGUGGGAACCUGGAACCAUGUUUACUCUUCUGAUGACCCUGAAAGCCUGACUCGAGUGCUACAUGGAUAAAAGAGUGAGUUGAUGGAGCUGGCCUUGGGCAAGCUCAUUCUUCCGGCAUGUGGACAAAUGCCUGACAAGAUGAUUCUAUCAGGAAGUUACAGGAAGGAGAUGGAACAAGGAAUUUAGGCCUGGAUUCUGCUGUGCUCUCGCCAAAUGAGAUAGCCAGGGACUCAGUGAGAGGAGGUGCCAGAAAGGCGCCCUCCGAGCAGCUCCUGUACCUCUUUCCCUGGGGCGGCCAGUACGAAUGCAUGAGGCACGUGUGGGGACUUUGCUUCUGAGUUCGGAUACUGGGGGCCAUCACCAUUAUCUCUGAAUGUUCCAGAUGAGAACACUGAGAUCCAGAGCUGCCGCCCUUCAAGGCCUCUAGGCAGAGAGGUGGAGUGGAGGCUAAGUCCAUUACCCUUCAGCCACCCAGCACUGCUAUGCCAAUGCGUUUACCAUUUCAGUGCCUCCUCACUGGUCUAAGUGACAGACGCUGACAUUCACACAUUCUCAGCCAGGGUGGGUGGCACCGUGCCAUAGAUGGCACCAAAUUGGGUGUUGAGGAAGUACUGCUGUGUCCCUUCCCCCCGGCCCUCCCAGCUCAUUGGCCCCAGUUGUGCAUGUAGCAGGGUCUCAGUAAAUAGGUAUGGGAAUGAGCAGAGUAAUCUGCCUCAGGAAUCUUAGAAAAACACGAAAACAACCUUACCAACAGUACUUGGUCUAACACAUCAUAGCCCUCUAAGUAGUUUCACUGUGUUAUCUUGUUUCAUGUACCUGCUGUCGUUCGAAAUUGUUUCAGGGUAGAAGCAUAUAAUUAAAAUAUCAAUUAAGCCACGUUCUGAAAUACAUCAGGCUAUGUGUGAGCAUGAAUUAGGAAAAAGUCAAAUGACAAUUCAUCAAUCUAGGACUCAUUCCCCAGGUACAAUCCACAACCCACCUCCCCUGCAUCCCAGUUUUGCUCCAGAGGAGAAGUUCACCAGAUGGAUUGGCCAGAUGGGUCCUGGAUCCAUUGGGAAGAUGCCUGGGAAAAUCUGAAUUUUCUUGGGGGACUUCUUUGCUUCUAGUUCUCCACCACCAGGCUGGGAGAGGGUCCUGAUACCAAAAGUUCGUUUCAGAAUCUGCCUUUCAGCCCUUCCCCUGGUCAAAGGUGUGAGUAUGGCUGGCAUGAUGGGAUGGAAAGAACACGGGCUUCUCAAUCCCCAAUCUAGCACUAGUAAGCUGUGGGAGUUGCAAUCCUCUCAGACCUCCAUUUCCUAUUCAUAAAAGUGGGAACAGUGGGACUGCUUCUAGGGCUCAGUGACAGGGCACGGCACCAUCUAGCACAUUAAAGUGCUCAGUUUUUCUUGCUAAUGCCGUAAGGAGAUUUAAAAUAUAAAUGCAUUCCCGGACUGCAGUGUUGCCCCCUUGAAUAGAAACUAUUGGAGGUUGGGUUCUGAGAAUGUGAAUUUUUGAGGCACUCCCAGUGAGACUCUGAGAAGCAGCUAUGUUUGGGAAUGACAGCUUUUCCAUUCUUCAAUUCCAGAUGCUAUUCAUAAUGAGAUGCACUACCAAUAACACCUUCUCAGGAAAAAAAUGUGUCAAUUACCCAUUAAAUUUAUACAUUUCAACCUCAGGCACAUUAAAAAUUGCACCCCUGGACUGUGCAUUGUCUCAGCUGUGGUCACAGGACUGAAGGAGAAAUCCAUGUGGUGUGAGGCAAUAACCAUGACUGUGAUUAGACGGCAGCCUCAAUGAUCACCUGGUAUACACCAUGCUGGGAGGCCACUGAGACUGCUCUGCAUCAUCUCCCAGGCCUGGGAUGCGGAGUGUCAGAGAAUCAGUCCUGUGUCUCUCUUCUCCAGCAUCUCUCAGCUGGAUGCACAGGGCUGGCUGUCUUUGUGGUUCAGACUUUCAGGAGUCAAGCCAAAUUGAGUCAGAGCAUGCUCCUCAGUGUCUGCCCCACCACUGAGAGGGGUCAGCCUUCAGCUGGGAUCUGGCAGGCCAGUCUGCACUGCGGGGCUUUCUCGUUGCUGUUGGAGCUUCUUUGCUCCUCGCAGAGUUGGGAAGGGUGGGAGGGCCUCUGUCAGAGCUCUCUGGCCCUUUCUCCAUGUUGGCUCAGUCCCUGGGGCUGUGCUUGUGCCUUGAUUUCCCUCCUUGGUUCAUUGUAUUUGUCAGGAUUCAGGCAGGAAAACACAAACCAGGCGUGGUGUAUCCGACAGAGGAAUUUAACACUGGCUAUAGAAUGUGUAGAUGUUGGAAGGCUGGGAUGCCAAGAGGGAGACCGAGAGGUGGCCCAGGGCUUAUGACCUGUAGGAAGCUGCUGCCCCAGCUGGGGGAGCAAAAAGAAGGAGGAUUAUCAUUAGGAUCUGGGAUGCAGAGGAGGAGCAGUGCUGUGGAGGAGGGACCGCUGCAGCUAGAGCUGAGAUGAUGGAAAUGGCACAGCUGCUUGAGAGACAUCACCUGGAGAAGAAGGAACGAGAGAAAGAGUGAGAGGAAUAGAAGAUCAGCACUACUCUCCCAGCAUCUCUUAUUGAGAGAGCUUGUGAAGAAGUCAGCUGGCAAAGGAGCCAAGUGUGACCGAGCCGUGUGCAGAGAGUGUGCUGGGCCUGGGAGGCAAUAGACAAACAAUAAGUACAUUCAGGCAGUCAGCACAUAUUUACUAAGUACCUUUUCUUUUGAGAUUGAGUCUCACCCUGUUGCCAGGCUGGAGUGCAGUGGUGCAAUCUCGGCUCACUGCAACCUCCACUCCUCAAGU